rnacentral:tRNA from 1 species
CAUCGGGUGGCGCAAUGGUAGCGCCUUACUUCCCGGUGGUAAAGGUUUUGGGUUCGAGUUCCAGUCCGACCGA